UUUCCAAUUAUGAUGUCGUAAUGUGCGUCGGUAACCAUUCGUGACGGUUAUGGUAUGUUGAGCAGAUUGGCUGACCAUAUGUCGAUAGAAUCUAUGAGUCGGUCGACUAUGCGUCAGGGGGUUGACCGUCAGUUGAGAACUCUGAAAUACCGACGGUCGAAGUAGUCGUUUGUAGUGUCCGAACAUCGGUCACUUGCCGAUCUUGAGUCGGUGUAGUGUGUUCGGUUGGUCGGUUUAGAGUAGUGUCGGCCUGUUUGAUCGAUGUUCAAUCGAUAGUCGGUUUCAGGGUCAUGUUUGUUUGUGGGGCC
rnacentral:lncRNA from 1 species